rnacentral:sRNA from 14 species
UUGGACUACGCUAAUAGUCUAAGUCCUUUAAUGGACUACGUUAUUUUGGUCAAGACACCUAUGGAUAUUCCUCAAGUCUGUAGUUCUGUC